rnacentral:lncRNA from 1 species
AAGCAAUGAGGUUUCAACAAGUGGCUGAUUGGGCAAGGGCACAUGGCCAGCACAUUUAAAAUAAAACGAAUUCAUAUAAAAUCUACAUUUUUUAAUAUUCAACAAACUGCGUUCUGUAACUUAGGAUUCUUUCCCUUUUAAAAGGGAAAACCGAAAGUAGGUAAGUGUUGGGGAAGAUAACAAAGAGUGUUGCAGAAUUGGUGGGUUUAAAGCUGCUUACAGUGAAAGCAACUUCACUUAUGCCACGGGGGCAACGGGCAGAUGAGCACCCUCGGGCUGGAAUCCGUUCUUAUCGGCGAUGUAGUUGACUUGGUAGGUCUGGCCAUCAUCAGCAAUGAAGCGGUAGGAUCCACUCACAGAGAUAGCCUCGUUCUCAGUUCCAAUGUCGUUCAGCUGACCUACAGCUUGAGCAGCCUGUCCAUCGGAGGUUUCCCAGCUAAGAAGGAAGUCAGUGUCAGCUAGGUAUCCUUUUGGGUCAUUUCUCAUAGGCAACUUACUCGUAUUUGAAGCUUUCGGGUCCAACGUCGGAUUCAGAGCGCACGAUUGUGGGUUCCUCAGCGGCAGGAGCAGCCAGAGCCACGGCGAAGAGGGCGACGAAGACAAUCAGGAAUUUCAUGGUGAUUGUUGUUUGGUGCUUAGAUCUGCGGCUAUCGAACAGUUCAAGUCGAAUGGUAACUAUGGACGGCCGCGUAAACCCUUUUAUAGAUGGCACCCUCUUGGCGAUUAUUCAAAGCGCGGCCGAACUAGUCAAACGUGUACAAGACAUAAUGAGCAAAAUCAAUGUUAAUGUGAAAUGUCUGGUUUGGAUUUCAUUUUCGUUUGAAGUAGGAGCAUUAAAAGGCCUAAUAUAAAAUUUUAAUAACACUAUAGUCCAAAAAGAAUCGCGUUCAUAAAUAUUUCAUUAUUCAAAUUUUUAACAAUUCAUUGAGCUUUAUUAUAUUUAUAAUAAUCCAGCCAGUCUUAGUGACGUCAAUAAAACUCGGGAGCUUCCUCAAAUAUAUACAUUUUUUCUAUUUACUUUUCUAAUUCUACGAAUCUUUUACAUUGGAUAAAUAAAGUCAACUUAUUUAUUCGCAUCCGGAAUCAUUAUACAUCCAGGUAUCUCCUAGGCUACUAGCCUGAACUUGGGAUGGUAGCCAGUUUCGUCGGCCGUGAAACUAAUCUCGUAUUUUUUGCCAUCUGGAGCUGACCAGCUGGUCGAUCCCUGGACAGACAAGGAACCAUCCUCUUCGCCGGCUCCAGGUUUCACCUCACCGGUCUCAGUGCGUGAGAUUCCGUUGCUCGUCUCAUAGCUGGAAUUCGAUGUUAAUUGUUUUUAAUAAAUUAAUUAUUGAUUGAAAUUGUAUAUAGGAACAUCGAAUAAUUAAACACCUGUUACAACUAAGCAUUUCAAAGCUACCCUCUUUAAUUUUGCCCUUGCAGAGGCUUAUACCUCUGAUAUCAGUCAGAAGUUUGCAACGCAGUGAGGGAGACAUGUGCAACUAAAUAAAGUUUAUAUAUGUGUACAUAUUUAUAUACAUCAGUUUCAAUAGUCAAGCCGUUUCUACGCAAAAUAGUAAUAGUAUCUCAGUUUAAGGUUAAAAAAUUUUACAAUUAAAUGCAUUAUGUCCAAAUCAUUUCUGGGCAAUACCUACGCAAAGGAAUAUUUAUCGCCCGUGUUUUCGCUCUCCAGUUUGAUGGUCUCCGCCUGGGCAUCCUCACCAGCGGGAAAGGCCAAACAGAUACCAAUUGCCAGGAAGGCUACCAGCCACAUGAAAUUCG